rnacentral:rRNA from 1 species
AUUGAACGCUGGCGGCAUGCCUUACACAUGCAAGUCGAACGGCAGCGCGGACUUCGGUCUGGCGGCGAGUGGCGAACGGGUGAGUAAUGUAUCGGAACGUACCAUUGAGUGGGGGAUAACGUAGCGAAAGUUACGCUAAUACCGCAUAUUCUCUCCGGAGGAAAGCAGGGGACCGCAAGGCCUUGCGCUCUUUGAGCGGCCGAUAUCAGAUUAGCUAGUUGGUGGGGUAAAAGCUCACCAAGGCGACGAUCUGUAGCGGGUCUGAGAGGAUGAUCCGCCACACUGGAACUGAGACACGGUCAAGACUCCUACGGGAGGCAGCAGUGGGGAAUUUUGGACAAUGGGGGCAACCCUGAUCCAGCCAUGCCGCGUGAGUGAAGAAGGCCUUCGGGUUGUAAAGCUCUUUCGGCCGGGAAAAAAUCGCAUGGAUUAAUACUCUGUGUGGAUGAUGGUACCGGAAUAAGAAGCACCGGCUAACUACGUGCCAGCCGCCGCCGUAAUAC